rnacentral:rRNA from 1 species
AGCUCGAUGAGUAGGGCGGGACACGUGGUAUCCUGUCUGAAUAUGGGGGGACCAUCCUCCAAGGCUAAAUACUCCUGACUGACCGAUAGUGAACCAGUACCGUGAGGGAAAGGCGAAAAGAACCCCGGCGAGGGGAGUGAAAAAGAACCUGAAACCGUGUACGUACAAGCAGUGGGAGCACAGAGCAAUCUGUGUGACUGCGUACCUUUUGUAUAAUGGGUCAGCGACUUAUAUUCUGUAGCAAGGUUAACCGAAUAGGGGAGCCGAAGGGAAACCGAGUCUUAACUGGGCGUUAAGUUGCAGGGUAUAGACCCGAAACCCGGUGAUCUAGCCAUGGGCAGGUUGAAGGUUGGGUAACACUAACUGGAGGACCGAACCGACUAAUGUUGAAAAAUUAGCGGAUGACUUGUGGCUGGGGGUGAAAGGCCAAUCAAACCGGGAGAUAGCUGGUUCUCCCCGAAAGCUAUUUAGGUAGCGCCUCGUGAAUUCAUCUCCGGGGGUAGAGCACUGUUUCGGCAAGGGGGUCAUCCCGACUUACCAACCCGAUGCAAACUGCGAAUACCGGAGAAUGUUAUCACGGGAGACACACGGCGGGUGCUAACGUCCGUCGUGAAGAGGGAAACAACCCAGACCGCCAGCUAAGGUCCCAAAGUCAUGGUUAAGUGGGAAACGAUGUGGGAAGGCCCAGACAGCCAGGAUGUUGGCUUAGAAGCAGCCAUCAUUUAAAGAAAGCGUAAUAGCUCACUGGUCGAGUCGGCCUGCGCGGAAGAUGUAACGGGGCUAAACCAUGCACCGAAGCUGCGGCAGCGACACUAUGUGUUGUUGGGUAGGGGAGCGUUCUGUAAGCCUGUGAAGGUGUACUGUGAGGUAUGCUGGAGGUAUCAGAAGUGCGAAUGCUGACAUAAGUAACGAUAAAGCGGGUGAAAAGCCCGCUCGCCGGAAGACCAAGGGUUCCUGUCCAACGUUAAUCGGGGCAGGGUGAGUCGACCCCUAAGGCGAGGCCGAAAGGCGUAGUCGAUGGGAAACAGGUUAAUAUUCCUGUACUUGGUGUUACUGCGAAGGGGGGACGGAGAAGGCUAUGUUGGCCGGGCGACGGUUGUCCCGGUUUAAGCGUGUAGGCUGGUUUUCCAGGCAAAUCCGGAAAAUCAAGGCUGAGGCGUGAUGACGAGGCACUACGGUGCUGAAGCAACAAAUGCCCUGCUUCCAGGAAAAGCCUCUAAGCAUCAGGUAACAUCAAAUCGUACCCCAAACCGACACAGGUGGUCAGGUAGAGAAUACCAAGGCGCUUGAGAGAACUCGGGUGAAGGAACUAGGCAAAAUGGUGCCGUAACUUCGGGAGAAGGCACGCUGAUAUGUAGGUGAAGUCCCUCGCGGAUGGAGCUGAAAUCAGUCGAAGAUACCAGCUGGCUGCAACUGUUUAUUAAAAACACAGCACUGUGCAAACACGAAAGUGGACGUAUACGGUGUGACGCCUGCCCGGUGCCGGAAGGUUAAUUGAUGGGGUCAGCGCAAGCGAAGCUCUUGAUCGAAGCCCCGGUAAACGGCGGCCGUAACUAUAACGGUCCUAAGGUAGCGAAAUUCCUUGUCGGGUAAGUUCCGACCUGCACGAAUGGCGUAAUGAUGGCCAGGCUGUCUCCACCCGAGACUCAGUGAAAUUGAACUCGCUGUGAAGAUGCAGUGUACCCGCGGCAAGACGGAAAGACCCCGUGAACCUUUACUAUAGCUUGACACUGAACAUUGAGCCUUGAUGUGUAGGAUAGGUGGGAGGCUUUGAAGUGUGG